CACUACUAUGUGGAUAGUGUCAAGCAAAAUGGACAGGUAUGUUUGAAUGUGUGUGGAUGGUGUUCAGCACCAAGGACAGGUAUGUUUGAAU
rnacentral:pre_miRNA from 1 species